UCGGCCACAUUGGGACUGAGACACGGCCCAAACUCCUACGGGAGGCAGCAGUAGGGAAUCUUCGGCAAUGGACGAAAGUCUGACCGAGCAACGCCGCGUGAGUGAAGAAGGUUUUCGGAUCGUAAAACUCUGUUGUUAGAGAAGAACAAGGAUGAGAGUAACUGUUCAUCCCUUGACGGUAUCUAACCAGAAAGCCACGGCUAACUACGUGCCAGCAGCCGCGGUAAUACGUAGGUGGCAAGCGUUGUCCGGAUUUAUUGGGCGUAAAGCGAGCGCAGGCGGUUUCUUAAGUCUGAUGUGAAAGCCCCCGGCUCAACCGGGGAGGGUCAUUGGAAACUGGGAGACUUGAGUGCAGAAGAGGAGAGUGGAAUUCCAUGUGUAGCGGUGAAAUGCGUAGAUAUAUGGAGGAACACCAGUGGCGAAGGCGGCUCUCUGGUCUGUAACUGACGCUGAGGCUCGAAAGCGUGGGGAGCAAACAGGAUUAGAUACCCUGGUAGUCCACGCCGUAAACGAUGAGUGCUAAGUGUUGGAGGGUUUCCGCCCUUCAGUGCUGCAGCUAACGCAUUAAGCACUCCGCCUGGGGAGUACGACCGCAAGG
rnacentral:rRNA from 1 species